rnacentral:lncRNA from 1 species
UUUAUUGCAAGAAAAUUAGUAUGGCUUCAAACUGCCACAGGUAGGCACGUAACAAUGGCUAUUCAGCUAUACUGAUCCAAAAUGGAGAAAACUGAUGAUACAAGGGCCAAACAUCUUAUGAAAUGCAACUAUUUAUAGACUUGUUUUGCUAUAGGGAGGCUGGUGAACACGCUGAAUACGAAUUACCUCAGUUCUGCAGCUUUCUAUGUCUUUUUAAUGCAUUCUGUUUCAGGGUCACUUUCAAUCAAUAUUUCAUUUACUUACUGAGAUUGAAUGGGCGCUCUGAGACACAGUGUGCUGUUUAUCAUACAGAUUGGACACCUCAUUCUAGAUCCAAGAUCUUUUCCUCAACACUGGGAGCUGUCCUUUCAGCACCACAAAAUUACUGCUUGAAGUUGCAUUGCAGUUUUUUCCCCCCUCCUUUAUCACUGGGAGCUUUUCUUUCAGCACCACAACAUUGCACCUAGACUUUUUAAACGGCUGCCUUCCUCUUUGCACUGAAGACCAAUUUCGUCUGCACUUCCAGUUAUUGUUAUUACCUGUAGGACUUUCAGUCCUACUUCACCUCACCCAAUCCACUCCUGAAACAGUUAAAUGUAUCUAUUUCUGUGGAAAUCAUUUUCUCAUUGAAUGAUCAGAAACAAAGAUAAAUUCUAACCUGUAACGGCUCAUUUCGACUCAUUGCUUACAAUAGAUCUAAGCUCUUUUUUCUGCUUACUCGACUCCUUCCAGCUUCCCAUCACAUCUGUAACAAACUUUUAAAAUUAUAUUGCCACACCACCAUGCACAAGCCUACCUGCACAGUAGAGAUAGAUUAUUCCAUCGAAUUCAGAUGGUUAACAGAGGUUAGCAAGUCCUGUAUUAUAUAUUUAUAUCGCUUUCUAAGAAAGUGCAUAUUAAUGUUUACUUUAAGAAUGUGUAAAUGGUGCUAUCAAGAAUCUGAUAAAUUUUAUCCCAGUUUUUUGUGUACCACUUCUAAUGUAUGAGAUUUAUUUUUUUAUUGGAAAAAUAAACAGUAUGAAAGCAUUAAAUUGGUAGAUUUUAGUAAUUUAACAAAUGAAUGGAAUCCUUACGACACAGGCCCUAUCUUUCCCUGGAAAUUUUAAUGGUGGUAAUAGAUUUCAACAAGGUACUGAUAAUCACAUUCCUUUUAAUCCAUUCUUAUAUUGCAUUCUUGAUUCAUGUGCUGAUUCCUAAGUUCUUAAGUAAAUUUUAUUUACUGUAAGUCUUCUCCAAGAAGGGAAUUCUUGCUUUCCAAGGCAGCAAUUGAAAGGAGAUGAAAAUAUAAUUUAAUAAUCUUUAUAUCACAGAAAAGAUUUGAGAGCAGUUACUCUGUUAGUAGGAGAAAUUCAUCACUCAUUAAAUACAGGGCAAGCAUGGCUAUACAUAAUAAUUUUGAGUGCAAUGCAGUCUUAUAAAUUUAAUGUACACACUUUAUUUAAAUGAUACAAACAGCCAUAUGAAAUUGCAUAUGAUUAGAAAACAGGAUGAACUCAUUUUGCCUCCUGCUUGGUUUCUCAUAAACAUGAUUACAUAAUAUUGUUAUGCACUGUUGUUCAUAGAUGUCUUUUUACAUAAAGGGUAAGUAUCAUAUUACUUUAACAGAUUAUUUUUGGAGUUCUGCAUGUUAUUUUUGUUUCAUCAGAUAUGUGCCCCCAAUUAAAAAAAAAACGUUAUUUCAAAAAAAAGUGAAAGUUUCACAACUUGUCAUGUUAAUUUUGAAAAAAUUGAAGUGUAGUACAUAUUACUAGAUAGGAUGUCAUUCCACUGGUCUAUAUAAACAAAAAAACAACUGUUCUUGAAAAUUGAAGCAUUACCUUGUAUAAUUAAUAAAGUACAUCAAAUCAGAUUUGUAAAUAAAAUAUUGUUUAAAUCUAAAGUAUUCAAUAUUUUGAUUAGAUUAUUUUUUUAAGGAAAAAUAUUUAACGUGUAUGUGCCGAAUUUUUUUUUAAAUAGUUUUUUAUAAUUGCAAUGGAAGGGCAAUUGUCUCAUUACAAGUGGUACAGAAGCCAAUACUUGGGUUACCAUAGAUAUAUAAACAAGUGAAAACUGUGGAACAAGUUUUAAGCUCAUUUUGGAAAAAAAAAAACAGUUCUGUAGAAAUGCAUA